UACAGAGGUCUCAAGCGUUGUUCGGAUUCAUUGGGCGUAAAGGGUGCGUAGGCGGCGCGGUAAGUCGGGUGUGAAAUCUUGGAGCUUAACUCCGAAACUGCAUUCGAUACUGCCGUGCUUGAGGACUGGAGAGGAGACUGGAAUUUACGGUGUAGCGGUGAAAUGCGUAGAUAUCGUAAGGAAGACCAGUGGCGAAGGCGGGUCUCUGGACAGUUCCUGACGCUGAGGCACGAAGGCCAGGGGGCAAACGGG
rnacentral:rRNA from 1 species